GAUAAUUCAAAUAUUCACUAAAAUGAUAUAUUGUGUGUGUUUUGAAAUGCUAAAAGUGUUAUUUUUACCCCACUUAUGAAAGAAAAUUAGUGUUUCUAAGGAUAACAGAAACUAAUUUCAGAGCUUGAGCUUGUUUGGCCAAACUGGUUGUGAAGAAAAUCUAUUUGUGGAACCAACCACAAGCGCUUGGGCACUAAAACUUGAAAAAACAAGACCAUAUAUGAGGAAUCUGCUCAAGUCCAUAGUAUUCAAAUAUGAUUAUCCAGAAAACAUUUACUCAAAUGAAUUGAGGUAGGCAGUAUUGACUAGAAAGCAAAUUGUACCACAGGUUACAUAAAUAUAUAUAUAUAUCCCAGUUAAACCACAUUGUUGCAGGACUAACUCGCAACGGCAAUGAUUCUGUAGGAAAACAAAUCUGCUUCAUUUUUCACAUUCCUAUCUAUGUAAAAUGAAUGCCUCUCAUAAAAUAUUUUUUCCUAAAGAAUUACAACAUCUAAACCCAUCCUAUGAAUCCAGAACCAGCAAAUCUUUUUUUUGAAGCAGAACUUUGUUCAGUUAAACAAUUUCCUACAAUUCAGAGAGCACCCUGCCAACCAGAGCAAAAAGGGUCAGGUCUAGAAAGGCAUGCGCCCUGCAAGUCUGCUUUCUGAUAUUCUUCUGUCUAUUGCCGCAUCUAUUGAGGUCAUCUGAAAAAAGAAAACACAGACAGAUAAUU